UACGUAGGGUGCGAGCGUUAAUCGGAAUUACUGGGCGUAAAGCGUGCGCAGGCGGUUUUGUAAGUCAGCUGUGAAAUUCCUGGGCUUAACCUGGGGACUGCAGUUGAGACUGCAAGGCUAGAGUGUGUCAGAGGGGGGUAGAAUUCCACGUGUAGCAGUGAAAUGCGUAGAGAUGUGGAGGAACACCGAUGGCGAAGGCAGCCCCCUGGGAUAACACUGACGCUCAUGCACGAAAGCGUGGGGAGCAAACAGG
rnacentral:rRNA from 1 species